UGGCCUGGCCCGGGCCCUCCAGCAAGGCCACUGGGCACAUUUUUUUUAUUUUUGUUUAAAUUUUAUUUUAGUUAAAAGUCAUCAAUUACGAUGCUAAGUGCAGCGCCCGCGUGACUUGUCACAUCGGCAAGUUGAUGUUUGUGACUGUGCUGAAGUUACGCGGGGGGGGGGAGGGGUUCAUACACCGCGACUCCUCGCCACUCCACCGCUGGACGGUGAAGGCCGCAGGCCGCCCACGGGACACGUGGCGGGGGCCUCCCACGUGACACCGCCAUCCCUGGCGGGCCCGUUUCGUGGCACACCAUCCGUCUCGUGCUGUCUGCGCUGGAGGUGACCACCACCUCGUUGUCGUCGUCGUCAUCGUUGCGUUGUCUCCGUGGUGGUCAAACUCUCAGGUCUGUCAUCGUCGUCAUUGUCAUCGUCAUUGUCAUCGUCGUCGUCGUCAUUACUGGAGUCAAGUCUCAAGAUACUACUGUCAUUGGUGAGUGUAGAACACCAUAAUACGUAUCGUAUGAGAGAGAGAGAGAGUGAAUGUAUAAUAUUAAGGUUUUAUAAGUAAAUAGAUUUAAGUAAAAUAUAUAUAUAAAGUAUAAAUAUACAUAUUUUAAACAUUCUGGU